rnacentral:rRNA from 1 species
UACGUAGGGCGCAAGCGUUGUCCGGAAUCAUUGGGCGUAAAGAGCUCGUAGGUGGUCUGUUACGUCUGCUGUGAAAUCCUAGGGCUUAACCCUGGGCCUGCAGUGGAUACGGGCAGACUAGAGGUAGGUAGGGGAGAAUGGAAUUCCCGGUGUAGCGGUGAAAUGCGCAGAUAUCGGGAGGAACACCAGUGGCGAAGGCGGCACUCUGGGCCGGAACUGACGCUGAGGAGCGAAAGCGUGGGGAGCGAACAGG